UACGGGGGGGGCAAGCGUUGUUCGGAAUUACUGGGCGUAAAGGGCUCGUAGGCGGCCAACUAAGUCGGACGUGAAAUCCCUCGGCUUAACCGGGGAACUGCGUCCGAUACUGGAUGGCUUGAGAUUGGGAGAGGGAUGCGGAAUUCCAGGUGUAGCGGUGAAAUGCGUAGAUAUCUGGAGGAACACCGGUGGCGAAGGCGGCUCGCUGGGCCAUUCCUGACGCUGAGACGCGAAAGCUAGGGGAGCGAACAGG
rnacentral:rRNA from 1 species